rnacentral:tRNA from 1 species
CCUGGCGGCUCAGAUGGUAAAGCGUCUGCCUGCAGUGCAGGAGACCCAGGUUCAAUCCCUGGGUCGGGA